rnacentral:rRNA from 1 species
CCUACGGGAGGCAGCAGUGGGGAAUAUUGCACAAUGGGGGAAACCCUGAUGCAGCGACGCCGCGUGGGUGACGAAGUAUUUCGUUAUGUAAAGCUCUAUCAGCAGGGAAGAACAUGACGGUACCUGACUAAUAAGCCCCGGCUAACUACGUGCCAGCAGCCGCGGUAAUACGUAGGGUGCAAGCGUUAUCCGGAUUUACUGGGUGUAAAGGGAGCGUAGACGGCAGUGCAAGUCUGAAGUGAAAGGCGGGGGCUCAACCCCCGGACUGCUCUGGAAACUGUACGGCUGGAGUGCAGGAGAGGUAAGUGGAAUUCCUAGUGUAGGGGUGAAAUGCGUAGAUAGUAGGAGGAAUACCAGUGGCGAAGGCGGCUUACUGGACUGUAACUGACGUUGAGGCUCGAAAGCGUGGGGAGCAAACAGGAUUAGAUACCCCUGUAGUC